rnacentral:sRNA from 1 species
AGAGCCGACCAUCUCCCACUCGAGCUGCCCCCGCCCUCUGGACCCGAGUGACUCAGGCCUUUGUUUGUCCUUCCUGGUAGAGGCGGGUUCCCUCCCUCGGCAAGAUGCCGGAGUGCUGGGAUGGGGAACAUGACAUCGAGACACCCUACGGCCUUCUGCACGUAGUGAUCCGGGGCUCCCCCAAGGGGAACCGCCCAGCCAUCCUCACAUACCAUGAUGUGGGCCUCAACCACAAAUUAUGCUUCAACACCUUCUUCAACUUCGAGGACAUGCAGGAGAUCACCAAGCACUUUGUGGUGUGUCACGUGGAUGCCCCUGGACAACAGGUGGGGGCGUCGCAGUUUCCUCAGGGGUACCAGUUCCCCUCCAUGGAGCAGCUGGCUGCCAUGCUCCCCAGUGUGGUGCAGCAUUUCGGGUUCAAGUAUGUGAUUGGCAUCGGAGUGGGCGCCGGAGCCUAUGUGCUGGCCAAGUUUGCAGUGAGUCUCCCCAUGCCCCCAUUACCCCAAAUACCAGGGCAAGCCAGGGAUCUCCCAGUGGUGGGGACAAGGGGGAACCCUUCA